rnacentral:rRNA from 1 species
AUUGAACGCUGGCGGCAGGCCUAACACAUGCAAGUCGAGCGGAUGAAGGGAGCCUGCUCCCCGAUCCAGCGGCGGACGGGUGGGAAAUGCCUAGGAACCUGCCCUGCAGUGGGGGAUAACGUCCGGAAACGGGCGAUAAUACCGCAUAAACUCAGACGGACUAAGGGGGGGAUCUGUGGACCUCGCGCCUUCAGGUGAGCCUAGGUCGCUUUAGCUAGUUUGUGGGGUAAAGGGCUACCAAAGCGACGAUCCGUAACUGGUCUGAGAGGAUGAUCAGUCACACUGGAACGGAGACACGGUCCAGACUCCUACGGGAGGCAGCAGUGGGGAAUAUUGGACAAUGGGCGAAAGCCUGAUCCAGCCAUGCCGCGUGUGUGAAGAAGGACUUCGGAUUGUAAAGCACUUUUAGUUGGAAGGAAAAGCAGUAAGUUAAUACCUUGCUGUUUUGACGGUACCAACAGAAUAAGCACCGGCUAACUUCGUG